rnacentral:rRNA from 1 species
AACGAACGCUGGCGGCAUGCCUAACACAUGCAAGUCGAACGAGACCUUCGGGUCUAGUGGCGCACGGGUGCGUAACGCGUGGGAACCUGCCCUUAGGUUCGGAAUAACUCCCCGAAAGGGGUGCUAAUACCGGAUAAUGUCUUCGGACCAAAGAUUUAUCGCCUUUGGAUGGACCCGCGUUGGAUUAGCUAGUUGGUAGGGUAAAAGCCUACCAAGGCGACGAUCCAUAGCUGGUCUGAGAGGCUGAUCAGCCACACUGGGACUGAGACACGGCCCAGACUCCUACGGGAGGCAGCAGUGGGGAAUAUUGGACCAUGGGCGAAAGCCUGAUCCAGCAAUGCCGCGUGAGUGAUGAAGGCCUUAGGGUUGUAAAGCUCUUUUACCCGGGAUGAUCAUGACAGUACCGGGAGAAUAAGCUCCGGCUAACUCCGUG